UACAGAGGUCCCAAGCGUUGUUCGGAUUCAUUGGGCGUAAAGGGUGCGUAGGCGGCGCGGUAAGUCGGGUGUGAAAUCUCGGGGCUUAACUCCGAAACUGCAUUCGAUACUGCCGUGCUUGAGGACUGGAGAGGAGACAGGAAUUCAUGGUGUAGCAGUGAAAUGCGUAGAGAUCAUGAGGAAGACCAGUGGCGAAGGCGGGUCUCUGGACAGUUCCUGACACUGAGGCACGAAGGCCAGGGGAGCAAACGGG
rnacentral:rRNA from 1 species